AAAGAAAACUAAAUAGAUAGGAUCUAGGCAAAAUAUAACAAAAAUCGAGUUGUAGGGAUUGUGGCGAAUUUGAAUCUGAGUUCGAGUAGGAAAAGUGACAUAAAAGUCGAGUUUCGUGUGGUAGAAACUUUUUCAUUUCCUAUUCUUCUCCUUCAACCUCCAUCAAUCUUUGGUCUGCAAUCGAAGAAGAAAACACCAGAGAAACUGACCCCCUUCAUCUCCUCGGCUGAUUCGCAACCUGUUCGCAGGCAAUCAUCAAAUUCGAAUAAAUCCCAUUUUCGGAAUCAAAAUCCAGUAAACAAAGAGAACCCAAUUCCUGAUUUUAGCUGCGGGAGACUGACGAACGAUUCAAUUGGAAUUUGUUUGGGCGAAUUAAAAGGAUUUUCGGAUGAGAAUCAGUAAAACAGAGGUGAAUUUGAAGAGGCUGCUUGCGGCUGCGCCUCAGCAACAGAACCAGGCAAAACUUGUACAUUAUGUUGCUACUUUACGAGAACUGGUAGAACAACUAGCUGAAGAGAGAACUCCUGAAGGCUUACCAAGGUAUGAUGGAAAUAUUGAUUCACAUUCCGAACACUAUUUUCUUGAUACGGGAGUUUCAAAGGCUGUUUUGAGUGACUAUUCAGAGAAGAUUGAAGCCAUUGCUUCCAAAUUAGCUGCUCCACCACCUGAUAUUCAAACACCCGAAGAGCCCCUUGCAAGAAUUUCUGUCAAAGCAAACUCUUCUGAUACAAGAGACAAUCAGAUUCCCCCUUCUCCAGGUUUGAGAAGGAGAUUUGUGCCUAUCUCAAGUACUGAAGAUGGAACUUGUGAGACUGCUGGUGUUGAUUCUUCAGGGCCUGUCAAACUGGAUGCUGCAGCCCAAGCACACAUUGAAAAGCAUAGAAAGCUUCAAGAGGAUUUGACGGACGAAAUGGUUGGAUUGGCGAGGCAGCUCAAAGAGAGUAGUCUCAUGAUGAGUCACUCCCUGGAAAACACUGAAAAAAUACUUGAUUCUACAGAGAAGGCUGUUGAAAGUAGCUUGGCAAGCACUGGUCACGCGACUACACGGGCAGCAGAUCUUUAUUUUGGGGGCCUUGUCUUCUCAAGCCACGUCUCGCACUCACCAAGAUGCAUCAAUGUACGGAAAAUAUGAGCAAUGAAUGACUUGUUUUGGACGUGCAUAUACCGACAUUAACGAGGAGGAGAAGCGUUUUAAUAUAUUCAAUAUAUUCAAGGAAAACGUGGAGUCUAUAGAAUCUUCCAAUAGGGAUGCAAACAAACGUUACAAGUUGAGCGUCAAUCAAUUUGCAGACCUUACAAAUGAAGAAUUCAAGGCCUCAAGAAAUGGAUUCAUGGGGCACCAAUGUUCCACAAAGACGACUUCUUUCAAAUAUGAAAAGGGAUGUGCUAUUCAUAUAAAUUUUUACUUCUUACAUAUCCUUGUUAAUUUUUAUUCUUUGAUAUUUUUCAAUUCAUUCGAUCUGACGGCCGAAAAUUAGAAAGGUGUGGUGAAAAGUAAAAAAGGGGUGUGGAUAGCACACCCCAUAUAAAAAUGCUACAACAGCACCAACUGUAGAUUGGAGAAAGAAGGGAGCCGUGACACCAAUCAAGGACCAAGGCCAAUGUGGAUAUUGGACUUUUUCAGCAGUGGCAGCCAUGGAAGGAAUUACUAAGCUUACAACUGGUAAAUUAAUGGCUUUGUCCAGGCAAGAGUUUGUCGAUUGCCGCACAAGCGGUGUGGAACAAGGCUGUGAGGGUGGUUCUAGCCCU